UUAAAGGUAUAAUAAAAAUGUUUAAGAAAUAUCCCUUUUAACCUUCUUUAACCCAUGUUUAAACAUGAACUAGCAAAUCCUUGACAAAAGGCCUUCUACUGAACUUUACCCUGUCUCCUAACCUUUGCUGCUAAGAGUGAGUAAAAAUAACAGAGUCGGUCACCAUGGCUUGAAAAUAUGUCACAAGUAGUUUGUUACUCAUAAUAAAAGAGUAACAGUUGAAAAUUAUUACUUUUUUUCAGAAAUUAGAUCACAUUUUGAUUAUUCCUAUAACAUGCUCAUUUGCAUUCCAAGAUUCAUUCUUGAGCAGAAGAAUGAAUCAGCUUAUUCCCUGCUUGUGAGCCAGAAAUUGCACAUUCCCUGGGAAGUUCCUGAGAGAAGAUUGUGCAAACCGAGGUUACGAGUCAUGUUUCUUGUCACUGGACACAUAAAGGCUAAGAAUCUUGUGACCUGGUGGAAAAUCCAGGACUAGAACCCAGUAUUUUGAGUUUUUUAGAGAGUCUUGUUUUUUAAUCAACUUAUAAUAAAGGGUAGGAUGGACUCUCAAUCUUUAAAUAUGGAGGAGAAAAUUUAACAUGUGAUUAUUAGUGGCCCACGAGAAAUAAACCCACAUCAAAUGAAGCUCAGUUUGUGGUAUCUCUAGAACACUUUCUUCCUCUGUUCCUCAAAGAUCUGGUGGUAAUUUUAAAACCUUGUCUAACUUCUGUUUGUUGUAGAGGAGGUUAAUACUUUGCCCAAACUUGGGCUUCAUCACAUGGUAUUAGAACAUGCCAACUAAUGCCCUAUUCAAAUACCUAUCAUUGAUUUGGGCCCAGUGCUAUAAACUUCAGUUUCCAAAAGCUUUCAGUGUCAAUUACUUCCCAUAGCAAAGCAGUCCACAAGCCUCUUGAUGAUGUUUAGAGUCUUAUAUCAUCAAUUGCAGGCCUGUUUAUACUUCACAAUAAAAUCUAAUUUCUCGUACUUACUGUCAGAGUUAGGCAGCCUUAUUGAAUUGAAUUCCUAAAGAAAAUGAUGAUCUC
rnacentral:lncRNA from 1 species